rnacentral:snRNA from 1 species
UUAGCUCUCUUUGCCUUUUGGCUUAGAUCAAGUGUAGUAUCUGUUCUUUUCAGUUUAAUCUCUGAAAGAUGCCUACUGGCAUCAAUCUUGAUUAUUCCUAUUUUUGAUCACUCGGAGACGGCCUCUGCGGCUUGCUGUAUGUCGUCUCCAUCGUGUCCCUGGUAUUUCACUGCCUCCAGGUGAUGCAAACCCACG